CUUCAUAAGCUUCCCCUCGCUAGAAAGAGACACCAAAGGUGGCUCAGAGCAACCUGAGAGACGCGCAGGUGAGGGAGGGCCCAGCUCCGUGGGCGUCAGCGUCCCAGGGCGGGGGCAGCGCCUCUACUUUAUUCACCAGACCUCGCAGCCGCCUCCUCACCCAUCCUCAUAGCUCGCUUGAAGGUUUUAGCCUCGCAUCACCCAGGAACAGCCCAGACCUCGGCCUGCUCCCUCAGCGGCCCUCCCAGACCCCUACCUGUGCGCUCCGCCGCCACGGCCGCCCUCCGCUCGCGUCAGGCCGGGCCCACUUCCCGCAGCAAGCAGGCCGCACCGCCUCCAGCGCCCAAGCCCGCCCUGCUGAUAACCGUCGCUAGCCAGCUCCCUCCCCCCAAACCUCGCAGGCCUCACCGUGAGGAAGCGGCAGCGUCCGGCCCGGUGCUGAGUGGAGCUGGCGGCAGCAGCGCUGAGGCCCAGCUGCGGCGGCGGCUUUAUAGGGCGGGGAGGGGAGUCGGGGAGAAGCGCCCGCCCCCCGCUGCCGCGCAACCGCCGGGCUGCCCCCCGCACCGCCUGAGCGGAACGCGGCGCCCUGGCGCCCAAACGCGGAGCAGCGCCGCGGACGGGAGAACAGCCGGAGCUUCCCCGCGCUUCUGAGAGCCCUUGUCCUGUCACAGCAGGCCCUACUGAGAAGACCGUCCCCAGCAAUCAACACCAAGUCUCAGCCACAGCUACCUUCCAAGGCAAGGACGUUUCCCCCAGAGGAGGAAAGGGGGAGCCAAGCACUAAAGCAAAUACCUGAAAAGACGAGCACCCGAGGAGCAUUUGGAAUCCAUGGGGUUGCUCAGGAGGAGCCAGAUAUGGCUCUGUGGCUGUGUUGGUGCUGAGGAAGAUGCUGCUCCGUGAGUCUGCCACCUCCAGCCUGUUGAAGCCGCCUGGCGAAUGCCCGUGGCAGUUCAGCGUGUGCAUCCGAGCCGCUGUGACAGCACAGCCGGCCCUGGGGCACAGCCCCACGGGCACGGCCGGGGACGCACGGGACACGGCCACGCGGGGGCGCCGCGGCUCGCUGCGACGGACGGGGGAGUGCUCCACCAGGCUCAUCCCCAAGCGUCUUCCGUGGGCGGGGGGCACAGAGGGGACCUGCUUUAGAAACGGUCUUAAGAAGGACUAGAAACCACCAUCUAAACCGGCGAGUGUCCUGCAGAGCCACACGGGAGAGGCAGUGAACGAGGCUUGGCUGUGAAGGGCUCUGUGGCUCUGGGCUUCAACCUUGCAGCUGUCCAGAGUCCAAAAUGCAGAUUCCAGGCUGGUUCUGGUGCCACAGAUGGUAAAAGAGCAGUUGCUGCGAGGUUUGCAAGGCCAUAGGAACUCGUACAACUCGUACAGCUUUUCUAAGUGAGACUGCAAGGGGCCAGGGCCAGUUUAGUGUAAUUUUGAGAUGGCUGAACUAAAGCUAGACGAGCUUCUGAGCAGAAACAUGCAACCCACCACCAGGAAAGGGGGGGAAAAGGACAACAUGCUGUCACGGAGCUAUGGCACCCCCUCUCCUGGGCAGAGGUACCUGCUCCAGCAGCAGUGGGCUGCAUUCAUCUUCCCUGAGGACAGAUGCAGCAGUGGAAAAGGAUGGGAGCUGCCUGCAAAGUGGGUCAAGCAUGGAAUGAACGCUGCAGGAUCUGCUCAGACAAGGCUCCUCCAGGGCCCGCCCUUCCCUUGGUAAAAUGGGGCAGCAGAGAGCAGUGGUCGCUGGCCACUCUUGCACACAUUUAUGAUAGGGACAGGGCACGCUCAGUCGGUUUUGUAAUCAGGAAGGGAGGCAGAGGGGGGUGGUUUUGCAAACUCCUGAAAAAAAAGACAGCUGGGAGCCAAGCCAAAGCCUUUCAGCCCGAUCAAUCAAUUGAUCAUGUUAGAUAGUACAUCCCUCUGACCAUUCAGCACUUUUGGUUCUAAAUCCAUAAACCAGAAAACAGUUAAUAUAUCUAAUUAAAAUUUAAACCCAAACACCUCCCCCCAAAAAGCCCAAAGUGACCCCUCAAAAAAACUCUGGUUAUGUUUGGGGAAAAUCCGGGGAGGAAGAUGUACACAGAAGUCAUGAGAGGACCAGCCAGCAGAGGCUUAGUUUGAUUUACACUGCUGUGCUGAAGCAUGUGCACAGUCGAGCCUUCUCAUCAUCUGCCCACUCAUGACACUCACCCCUCGUUGUGCUGAUCCUCCUCCAUCACCUGUCUCAGGUCGGUGCAAGGUGGGAUGAUGCAGCCAUCAGCAAGGUCAGAAAGCUGAACUGAUGACGGUUUGAAGCUCUUGGAUCCUCCUCUGCUUUUGUUUAGCUGAUGUAUUGCAAACCACAGCCAGAGUCUUGGCAGCUUCACAGCAGUGAGAUGAAAGAAAGACCAGGGUAACAUGGUCAUGCCCUGUACCCCAGCAAGAUGCUGUCAUAAACACAAAAAUUAUCAUCUGUAAGGGAUCUCCUCUGCCCCCUGAAGCACCAUCAGCACCAGCUGCAGCUCAGCCAUGGCUUCUCCUAGUCCAGUCCUGAGAAAUUCCAGGAGCAUAUAAACUGCAGCCUUGCUGGUUCACCCACUCCAGGUGACACUGCCCUCGUGUUCUAAAGGCUGCUGUGUCCAGAACCACGGAAUGAUUCGUGUUGGAGGGGACCUGUAGACCUCAUCCAGUCCAACCCCCCUGCACUCAGCAGGGACAACUGCAACUGAAACAGGUUGCUCAGAGCCCCAACCUGCAACCUGCAUCAGUUCAGUCUUCAUCCAAAGGCAGUUGUUAGCCAUAUAGCACUUAAAAGAUCUAAAGCUGCACUUCAACUCAUCUUGAAGAAGAAAGCCUUUAAGCCACAGUGCAGGCUUUAAAAGGCAUGCAGCAGUGCUUAAUUCCAAACCAAGGCUGUCGUUUCAGCCUUUUUGCUCUGUUUUUGUUUUUUCCCUGUCUAUACACCAAAGAACUCUGAUCCCUUGCUCAGGUGAGCAGACUGCCUUCAUUCUCUUGCAGAAGGAGCACCGCCAAACAAACUAAAGCACCAAAAUAACUUCUCAGAAGACCAGAGUUGACUCAUGAAGCUCUUACACUGCAAGGCUUUUGGUGCCUUCACUGGCACUUAAAAAUUUCUACAGUCCAGUGCAAUUUUUACCCAUUUCCAGCCUUCUGGCAGUUGCAGAGCACCCACACUGCAGUGAUCACUGCAGCACACAGAAGGUACCUUGCACUUUCCACAAGACUUCAAAAUCAUCACCUGCAAACAUUCUGCUCAAAAUUCUAGACUCACAUACACCACACACAUUAUUCCAAACCCCACUCAAUACGACAAAGCUAUUUCUCUCCUGUGAAACUUUGCUCUAGCCUAUGCUAUGCCCCCUAAAACAUAUCCUGAGUUUCCAUGCAUGGUCAGCAUAGACAGAAGCAGCAGCAAAGAGCAGUAAUGAGUGUGUGACAGGAGCAUAAGGACGUGGUGAGUGGAGGCACACCUCCAACCAACUGAAUCUGGAGCAGUGUUUCAUCUGAAAUUCCAACCUGUGAUUUGGUCACACUUGCCUCCUCUUACAGACCUUGUUUUCCCUGAAUGAAGAAGUGCACUUACCUUCCAGCCCCCGCCUGCUCCUUAGUCACAGUUCCUCUGACAACAGGACUGAGAGGGAAAAGCAGGGAAAUGUGUUUAUAUGAAAAAGGCCCAAAAUAAACCUGGAACUUGUGUAACA